GACAUAGCUCAGUGGUAGAACAUGUGCUUUGCAUGCAAAAGGUUCUAAGUUCAAUCCCUGGCAUCUUCA